GCCAACAUAGCUCAGUAGGUUAGAGCGGUCGUUUCAUAAGCGACAGGUCCCUGGUUCGAUCCCAGGUGUUGGCACCA
rnacentral:tRNA from 1 species